ensembl:lncRNA
CAGACAUGACAGCUCUGCUUGUAGCUCCUAAGACAUGACAUCUCUGCUUGUAGCUCCUAAGACAUGAGACAUGACAGCUCUGCUUGUAGCUCCUAAGACAUGACAGACAUGAUAGCUCUGCUUGUAGCUCCUAUGAAACUUUGCAGUAUUGUGGUUUUUGUGUGUCAUUUCUAACAUUAUUAGUCCAGAGAGACGUCAGGGCGAGGAUCUCCUUCCAGAGAGACGUCAGGGCGAGGAUCUCCUUCCAGAGAGACGUCAGGGCG